AACGAUGAAACUUAAAUGAUUUCUUCGGAAUGAACUUAAGUGGAUUAGUGGCGGACAGGUGAGUAACGCGUGAGUAACCUGCCUUACACAAGGGGAUAGCCGUUGGAAACGACGAAUAAUACCCUAUGAAACUAUCACUUCGCAUGAAGCGAUAGUCAAAGUGUUAGCGGUGUAAGAUGGACUUGCGUCUGAUUAGCUAGUUGGUGAGAAAAAAGCCCACCAAGGCAACGAUCAGUAGCCGGCUUGAGAGAGUGUACGGCCACAUUGGGACUGAGACACGGCCCAGACUCCUACGGGAGGCAGCAGUGGGGAAUUUUGCACAAUGGGGGAAACCCUGAUGCAGCGACGCCGCGUGAUUUAGAAGGCCUUCGGGUUGUAAAAAUCUUUUGUAUAGGAAGAAAAUGACAGUACUAUACGAAUAAGGUCCGGCUAAUUACGUGCCAGCAGCCGCGGUAAUACGUAAGGACCGAGCGUUGUCCGGAAUCAUUGGGCGUAAAGGGUACGUAGGCGGGUCAUUAAGUUAGAAGUCAAAGGCUAUAGCUCAACUAUAGUAAGCUUCUAAAACUGGCGACCUUGAGUAAUGGAAGGGAAAGUGGAAUUCCUAGUGUAGCGGUGGAAUGCGCAGAUAUUAGGAGGAAUACCGGUGGCGAAGGCGACUUUCUGGCCAUUAACUGACGCUGAGGUACGAAAGCGUGGGUAGCAAACAGGAUUAGAUACCCUGGU
rnacentral:rRNA from 1 species